rnacentral:rRNA from 1 species
UGGAGGAAAGUAGGGGAUCGUAAGACCUUGCGCUUUUGGAGCGGCCGAUGUCUGAUUAGCUAGUUGGUGGGGUAAUGGCCUACCAAAGCUUCGAUCAGUAGCUGGUCUGAGAGGACGGCCAGCCACACUGGGACUGAGACACGGCCCAGACUCCUACGGGAGGCAGCAGUGGGGAAUUUUGGACAAUGGGCGCAAGCCUGAUCCAGCCAUGCCGCGUGAGUGAAGAAGGCCUUCGGGUUGUAAAGCUCUUUCAGCCGGGAAGAAAAGGCUGCGAUUAAUAAUCGCAGUUCAUGACGGUACCGGAAGAAGAAGCACCGGCUAACUACGUGCCAGCAGCCGCGGUAAUACGUAGGGUGCGAGCGUUAAUCGGAAUUACUGGGCGUAAAGGGUGCGCAGGCGGUUUUGUAAGUCAGAUGUGA